rnacentral:rRNA from 1 species
UACAGAGGUCCCCAAGCGUUGUUCGGAUUUACUGGGCGUAAAGGGUGCGUAGGUGGUAGGGUAAGUUCAAUGUGAAAGCUUCGGGGCUCAACCCGAAAUUAGCAUCGAAUACUAUCCUGCUGGAGGGUCGGAUGGGAGACUGGAAUUCUCGGUGUAGCAGUGAAAAUGCGUAGAUAUCGAGAGGAACACCUGUGGCGAAGGCGAGUCUCUGGACGAUUCCUGACACUGAGGCACGAAAGCUA